UUUCUGCUAUGAUUUGCUCCCAUAACCCUUCUAUGUCUAUUUCUCUCUCUUCCUCUUCUGGGACCCCCAUGAUUCUGAUGUUGUUCCUUUUUAAUGAGUCACUGAUUUCUCUAAUUCUUAAAUUGUGCUCUUUUGCCUUAAUCUCCCUCUUUUUCUUCUGCUUCAUUAUUCUCCAUAAGUUUUUCCUCUAUAUCACUGAUUCUCUGUUCUACCUCAUCCAUCCUUGCCGCCGCGGCCUCCAUCCGAGAAUGCAGCUCAGUUUAAUAUUUUUUAUUUCAUCCUGACUAGCUUUUAUUUAUUUUAUCUCCGCAGAAAGGGAUUCUAGUCUAUUUUUGACUCCAGUUAGUAUUCUUAUUAUCGUGAUUCUAAAUUCUGAUUCAGACAUCUUGCUUGUUUCUGUGUUGGUUACAUUCCUGGCUGUUGUUUCUUUCUGCUCAUUCUUUUGGGGUGAAUUCCUUUGUUUCAGCAUUUUGAAGGGAGAAAAGGAAUUAAUGAGGUAAAAAAAUUAAAUUAAAAACAAUUAAAAUUUUAAAAAUAUUAAAAUUAAAAAAUUAAAAACAAACACACACACACACCAAAUCAAAUAAAUGAUGUUAGAUCCUAGGUGUGUUUUGGUGUGGGUGUUGAAAGGCGCUUGAUAGAGAAAAACAGGGAAAGAAAAAAAAGGAAAUCGUUUGAAAAUUUGAAAAAAUGAAUACACCGAGGUAGACUAAAAUGAAAUGAUGGAAGUAAAAUAGAAUUUGAAAAAAUUUACACAAAAGUAAAAAAUAUAGUGGAAAAAAUUAAACAAAAAUAUUUUUAAUAAAAAUUGGAAAUAAAAAUGAAUUUUUUCUCUUUCUGUAUUGAAGAAAAAGAAAAGAAAUGAAAAAGAGAAAUAAAAAGAAAAAAAAGAAACAAAAUUGAAUAGAUGACCGGCAAACAGACUGAAAUACUACUGAAAUUACUUCGUUUUCCCCCAGAAGUCAAACUGUGAAACGCUUUAUAGUCCAUAAACUAAGCAGGCGGACACACUUUUGUUCCUGAAGAGAGAGGUUGGCCUCGUUGGGCGGGCCUUAGUGUAACAACUUUGUUCUCCAGUAGAUGGCGCUGCUUAGCUUACUGGGGUGGAUUCUUUGGCGCUUGUAGGUGCGUAUGCGCAUGCGCAGGAGCGGUUAAAAUGGUGUCUCCCAGCUACCCCAGAACUCUGCUCUCCCCGAGCAGCAAUCAGGCACCCACCGUUUGUCCUCAGCUUCCAUCCACUCCUCGCUUUUACACUGUCCGUGACCAAGCCCCAGGCAAUACUUGCCUCCUGAGUUUUGUCUCAGAUGCGGCUAUUUUCCCCAGCCCCUUACUUCUGAGGGACUGCGGUUUUGACCUGUUCUGCCCUUCUGCGGGAGGGUCUCACCGAGAAAUGGUCGGUUGCCGGCCGCACCCAGGAACAUUUGUGGGACUGGGCUGCUGCUGAUGCAUAGAGACUGAGGCCUGGUGCCAGUCUGCCCCAGAAAAAGUUCGUGAGAUGGUGUAGCAGCAGCGUUUCAGGGAUUAUGGAAAAUCACAACAUGCAUCUGGCACCAGGCUUCACCCUUAAUGACCUUGUUCCAGCACCAGCGAAUGUGAUUGUUCUCCCGGGUCCACUGGGGCCUUACCUUCGGGGGACCCACACAGCCUCUACCAGGUGUCCUCCCGGCAAGGCAACCGCCUUUCCACUUGUGGCCUGAAGAACCCUGGACUCCACUCUGCUCCUGGGGAUUCACCCUUCCCACCAGAGCACCACCAGGGAUUUGAUUGCAUUGCCAUUCCACAAGACAUCACAUGGAUCCACUACGUUGAUGGACCAACUGCUUCAGACACCUUGGUCUACGUUGGUGACAGAUGUGUCAGGAGAUGAGGCAGCUAAAUGCGAGUCAUAUGUGGGCUGUGCCAGGCUAAGUCUAAAGAGCUGUGAGAAGUGAAGUAAAAUACCUAAAUCUGCCUUUUACGCAGAGCUGUAAGGUAAGACAGUAUCACUAAUUAAAACAAGAAAAUAUGGAAGCAGAAGAGCAUGAAGUAGGGGAGGUGAAAAGAUUAUGGGUUUUAGACUUACACAUUUUAUAUUGCUCAAGGGUCAUCUGACCCAAAGGCUGUGGGCUGCAUACAUAGGUCUGGAGCAAAAUCAAGGUUAGAGGCAUAGUCACUGGCACACAGGUAUUAGUUUCUCUGUCCAGGUGUGGACAGAGAAUUAGACUAAGGUUGGAGCCAGAAAAACAGCAACAUUUAAGGCAGGAAAUAGAGGAGAAUUGACAACAGGAAUCCCAUAGUAUCAUUGACCUUACAGUGUUUUAAAGUUUUAUUUAUAAGCCUAACUGGCCAAGUGGAAAGUGAACUUAUAGGAAAUAAUUAUAGCUCAUCUUUUUUUGUGUGUUUGUAUUCCCAGAAACUGUCCGGGUGCUUUGUACAUGGGAUACUUAAUGUAUGUGUAUUCAAAUGAAUUCAUGAAUAAUUAAUUAAUGAAGGACUCUCUGGCUUGACGUUUCUGUUUGGUGCUUCCAUCUUUUAGUGUGACAUUUCAUAGCAAUUGUUCUAUGUGUCUUUUUAUUUUCAUUACUUUUUUUAUUGUACAAGGAACCCACAUUUAUUUAAGAAAAAUUAGAAAAAGGAAAGCUAAAACAAUUACCCUGAAUUCCACUGCUGGGAAUAACUAUUAUUAACAUUUCAUGUCUAUCUUUUGGAUCACUACUAUCAAUAGAAGUACAAUGUGAGCCACAUAAAUAUAUUACAUUUUUUAGUAGCCAAAUUGAAAGAAACUAUAAAUAAAUAUAUAAAAUUAAUUUUAAAAAUAUAUUUUAUUUAACCUGGUAAUCUCCAAAUAUCAUUUCAACAUUGGUUCAUAAAACUAUUAAUAGGAUUGUUUACAUUCUUUUCUUUAUACUAAGCCUUUGAAACUUUGUGUGUAUUUUACACUCACAGCACAUUUUAAUUUGGAUUCAUCACAAUCCCAGUGUUUAAGAGCCACGUUAGCUAGUGGGCCAUGUAUGGAUAACACAGUUCAAAGUUCCUUUUGAUGUAUACAUAAUGAUAUGACUAUACAUAAAAUUGUAAUUCUCCCUCCACAACAUGCAGGUCAUAAGAAAUCUAUAGUUUUAUAAGCAUUUUAUAAUAAAUGUUUAAUUUUCAAACAGUUUUGGAUUUACAGAAAAGUUUUGAAGAUAGUACACAUAAUUUCCAUACUGCAUACCCAGUUUCCCUUACGAUGAACAUCUUAAAAUAGUACAUUUGCCACAAUUAAUAAAUAAUACUGAUAUAUUAUUGGCUACAGUUCAUACUUCAGUAGUUUUACUUUGAUUGCCUAAAGUUCUUCAUCUCCUGUGGAGUCCCCCAAGGAAACUACAUUACAUUUAGUUUUCAUAUCUCUUUAGGCUCCAGUGGGCUAUGACAAUAUCUCAGAUUUUUCUUCUUUUUUAAAAUUUUUUUUCAAAUUUAAGUUUAAAUUUUAUUUUAUUUCUUGUAAACUUUUUUUCAUGUUUGUUAUUUAUUUUUGAGAGACAGAGACUGACAGAGCAUAAGCGGGAGAGUGUCAGAGAGAGAGGGAGACCCGAAUCAGAAUCCGAAGUAGGCUUUGACUCUGAGCUGUCAGCACAGAACCAGCACAGUUGAAGCUACAAAGUGUGAGACCAUGACCUGAGCCGAAGUCAGGUGCUAAACCGACUGAGCCACGCAGGUGUCCUAAAGUUUAUUUUAUUUUAGAGAGAAAAAGAGCAAUGAGCAGAGGACAGAGGCUGAGAGAGAGAGAGAGAGAGAGAGAAAGAGAAUUGCAAGCAGGCUCCAUGCUCAGUGUUGAGCCCAAUGCAGGCUCAUUCCCACAAUUCUGAGAUCAUGACCAGAGUCAAAAUCAGGAGUUGGAUGCUCUGGGAAUGCAUGCUGGUGCAGCCACUCUGGAAAACAAUAUGGAGGGUUCCUCAAAAAUCUAAAAAUAGA